rnacentral:rRNA from 1 species
UACGUAGGGGGCAAGCGUUGUCCGGAAUCAUUGGGCGUAAAGCGCGUGUAGGCGGCCCGGUAAGUCCGCUGUGAAAGUCCAGGGCUCAACCCUGGGAUGCCGGUGGAUACUGUCGGGCUCGAGUCCGGAAGAGGCGAGUGGAACUCCUGGUGUAGCGGUGGAAUGCGCAGAUAUCAGGAAGAACACCCGUGGCGAAGGCGGCUUUCUGGGACGGUACUGACGCUGAGACGCGAAAGCGUGGGGAGCGAACAGG